CACGAGCCUGGCACAGGUCCCUCGGGGUGCGGGGGCUUCCCUUUUUCAGGUGCUUUGCGGCUGUGAUCAGGAGACUGGGUCUGGGGUCCUGAGAUGGGGAAGCAGGGAAACAAGGCAGGGCCUUGGAGAGGUUCCGGGCACCGUGUGGACAUCCAGAGCCCUCCUGGGAUCAUCACCAAGCACUACCUGAACCAACAAGACCAAACCAAACUUCUUCCUGAGAAAACGGCGGGGGUCAGCGUCUAGCAGGCAGCUUAAAACCACUCAUACCAACUGCUAGUGGCCCUGUGUGACCCCUACCCUUGGGUCUCUCUCGCUCUCCCUGUCUCCGCCACCUUGGGGACCUCACCCAGCCUCCUGGCCACAAGCCCACCAGGCGUCUCUCUCCAGCCC
rnacentral:lncRNA from 1 species